GAUGAACGCUAGCUACAGGCUUAACACAUGCAAGUCGCGGGGCAGCAUGGGGGUUGCUUGCACUCCCCGAUGGCGACCGGCGCACGGGUGAGUAACGCGUAUCCAACCUGCCCUUCACCACGGGAUAACCCGGCGAAAGUCGGACUAAUACCGUAUGUUGUCCAUUGACGGCAUCCGAUUUGGACGAAAGGUUUGGCGGUGAAGGAUGGGGAUGCGUCCGAUUAGCUGGACGGCGGGGUGACGGCCCACCGUGGCGACGAUCGGUAGGGGUUCUGAGAGGAAGGUCCCCCACACUGGAACUGAGACACGGUCCAGACUCCUACGGGAGGCAGCAGUGAGGAAUAUUGGUCAAUGGGCGUAAGCCUGAACCAGCCAAGUAGCGUGCAGGAUGACGGCCCUAUGGGUUGUAAACUGCUUUUAUGCGGGGAUAAAGUGGCCCACGUGUGGGUUUUUGCAGGUACCGCAUGAAUAAGGACCGGCUAAUUCCGUG
rnacentral:rRNA from 1 species